UGCGCAGGCGGUUCCAUAAGACAGAUGUGAAAUCCCCGGGCUCCACCUGGGAACUGCAUUUGUGACUGUGGGGCUAGAGUUCUGUAGAGGGGGGUAGAAUUCCAGGUGUAGCGGUGAAAUGCGUAGAGAUCUGGAGGAAUACCGAUUGCGAAGGCAGCCCCCUGGACAGUGACUGACGCUCAUAUGCGAAAGCGUGGGGAUCAAACAGGAUUAGAUACCCCUGUA
rnacentral:rRNA from 1 species